UCAACAACUAAUGAAACUGGAGGAAGCAAUCAAAGAAAAACAGCCAGAAUUGGCAAAUCAUAAAGGAAUCGUGUUUUACCAUGACAACGAUAGACCACACAUGUCUUUGUUAAAUCGUGAAAAAUUAUUGGAGCUUGGUUGGAAAGUGAUGUCACAUCCACCAUAUAGACCUGACCAUGCACCAUCAGAUUACCAUUUAUUUUGAAGUUUGCAAAAUUCUUCGAUUGGUAAAACUUUCAAUAAUGAUGAUGACCUGAAAUUGCAUUUGCUUCAGUUUUUGGCUGAUAAGGACAAGAAGUUCUAUGAGUGCAGAAUCAUAAAGUUGCCAGAAAGAUGACAAAAAAUCAUCAAAACAAAU